GUAGGCCAAAACAUCUGGAGGGCCGCAGGUUGGGGAUGGCUGCUCUAGUUUCACUUCGCAACGGAUGGAGAGAUCAGGCAUGUCCAACUUCAAGUAGGCUGUGAUCUACUAUCCAGUAAAUAAAACGGGCAGUGAUCUACCACACACUCCCAUUGUCAUUCUUCAACUUCUUCGCUUUAGGGGCGAGGGGUAAGGCGUUGUUGGCAGCCAGAAAAACACCCUUUCUUUCCUUAGCACGGAUUCAUGGUUGAUUUCAUCGUCUUCUUCCACGUAUUGCCCAAACGGAGACUACAGCUGAUUAAGCCACAGGCCGCUCUGUAUGGAGGAGGAAGGAAAGGCGCUCUCCUUUUAUCCAGCCUCGUCCUGAACGCGAAACAUCGGCACCCCCACGCCCCACUUUCCUUUGCUCCCAAGGCGGACCGCUGCACCCUCUCCCCAUCGCACGAGUGUGGCCCUGUAGCACCCAGCAAGGGCCACCCAGCCGAGAGCAGCUUCCUUAGCAGAGCAAAGCAAGAGACAUGUGCUCCGGAGCUCACGGUACGGCGCAGCUCGCUCCCUCCCACAGCAGAGCCCUGGCUGCGAAGAAGUAGCAAAGGCUGCCUGGCCAUAGUGCAAUUGACCAAAAUCCAUCCAGCAAUCUACCCGUCGAUUGUGAUUGAGGCGUUGGACAUGUCAGCUUUAGAUCACAAUACACUGUUCAGUCUAUAGUUCUUUUUCACAGGAGGACACUGAAACACUCAAGGCCUUCCUCUUCUGCAAUCAAGUGGUGGCCCCAUAAAAAUCUACAGUUCUCUCUGCAAAAGCAUGAAUGUUUACUACUUAUAAGUUCAAUUUGAAUCUGGAAAACAUGCUUUGGAUGCCUUCAAAUCAGUUAGGGUCCUCUAACAUUUGGUGUGGUUUAAAGUAGCUCUUGUCCUGUUUCUCUUGACCAUCAACAUUACAAAACCAUAUUUUGUCUCCUUUUUGCAGCCGGAAUACACCUGUUAUUCAUUUCUUUCUUUUUAAAUCAGUGUAUUUGUGUUUUCUGAAGAAACAAAACAAAGAUGCAAAAACUAUGGCCAUUGGGGGACGGGAACACUGAAUGGCAAUGGUAGUGGAAACAGUAAAGUUGAUUGUGUGGAAGUAGCCUUUUAUGUGCUAUUUAUGGCAUUUCCAAUUUAUUAUGGUUUAUGCAAUAAUAAAAAUAAAAUGCUGUAAGAUGCCACAAAACUGGUUUUGCUGUAAUAGACUGACUAGGUAAACAUUUUCUGGAUUACAAAUACAAUUACUUCUGUAAUGCUUGUGGAUAGCUGGAUCAUUUGGGAUUAUCUGGCUGCCAAAACUAGCCUACUGAAAGUAAUACAAAUGUUUGUACCUGAUUAACAAAGAGGGUUGUCACAAAUUUUCCUGGCUUAAAAAUGUCUAUGACCUUCCUAAUUAAGUCAUCAUAGGAUGUCUGACUUAUGUUGGUUUCAAAACUAACGUAUGAGAACUCUGGUUCUGGAGUGAUGUGAAUAGUCCAAUAAGUUCCCUAGAAGAAAAUAAAGGAACCAAGUUAGAAAUCUCAACAUGGCAACAGUUAAUAAGUGAAUUAUCAUUGCAAAGAAUAAAAAAAAUGGCACUCACAUCUGUUUUCAUCCCAUUCAUUGAAUAUCCACAAGGAUUGAACAUUGUAGCAUCAAUGACAGAACCUGUUAUCAGGUCACGAAUUCCACUCACCUAAAGCCAAGAAAGUGUUGUUUACUUAAGCUAUUUAUGUAGCUGACAUUUCUAAGCAGUGUACAUAAAAAUUAAAAAGAUAAAUUAAAAGUAAUCAUAUAAACAUAAA